GAUUUUGUUGGUGGGCGUAGUGCAACGAUUUUCAUUAUGGUUGGGCGUAGUGGGCGUUAGUCGACGGUUUUGUUCAUUUAAAUUCAGUAAUCAAAAAAUAAUAUAAUUGUAGUUACAUAUUUUUUCAUUGAAUAAUUAUUCUGAUGAUGUAUCGAGGCUCUACGGUCGUUGUUUACGAAUUAUUGAUUUUCAAAAGGAAUUUGUACACAUUUCAUUUGCAUCUUGGUCCCAGAAGAAACGCUUUUUUAGAUGAAUGUCUGAAGGGAUAACCAACACUCUCAGAAUAUCUUGGUCCUAGAAAGUGACUCCGACUUCGUCAUUUUGUAAUGAACCGAAGUGAAGGCAGCAUGCAAAUCAGAGCUCCCACACAAGAACUGAUGAUCGUGGUCCUGUAAUGCGGAAUGAAACAUCAACAUGGAGAUACACUACUGGAUGGUGUUGGUGGUACAUCAAGGACACAAAUGAAACCCUUAGAAUGAAUUUCUUUUACACUGAUGUAAAUAUGUUAUCUUGAUCUAAGUGCGACGUUUUUUCUCAUGUAAAUGAUUGAAAUAAAAGUACAUGAAUUUGUUGGUGGUUAGUACAUCCUACAAAGCAGGAUAUUGGUCAAAUAUUGGAUUGGAUGUCAAUUCAUAAAAUUCAUCUGAGGUAACUAUACUGUUACUGCCAAUACAUGCCUAAUAUCUCAAUUUGUGGGAUGUGUUGGAGAAAUAUGUAUCUGACUUGAUUCUUA